UCAUACUAAUUUAUUGGUAUUGAGUAAGCAAAUCUAAAAAAAAAAAAAAAAAAAAAAAAAAAAACCUUUUAACUAGACCUUGUGGAAGAUCUUCUACAUCAGCUACUAUAACAAUUUAUAUAUUAGUCAUGAUUUUUUUCUAAACUUAUUUUGUAAUUGUAAUGGGUGAUAUAUACUAUAGUUGAUGUGUUGACACACCGACUUAUAAAUAAUGAAACUCCAUAUCUUUUUAUGUGAAAAAUGUGACUCAUUGAAUGUUCUUUUUCCUUGUAUUGGCAGGAAUGAAUAUGAAUUUAUGCAUAAAAUCAUUGAAUGUGUGGACUCUACAAUAUUUAAAUCUACAUACCAGUUAGACAUUGCUGAGUAUCCAAUUGGACUGGAGUCUCGUCUAAAUGACUUGAAUACUAAUUUAGAAAUUGGAAGAAAUGACAUCACUCUCAUGAUAGGGAUUUAUGGAACUGGUGGAAUUGGUAAAACAACUCUCGCCAAAGCAAUCUUUAACUCAAUUGGAGAUCAAUUUGAAGCUAGAUGUUUUCUAGCAAAUGUUAGAGAGAUUUCGAGUCGAGAGGACGGUUUGGUCAAACUGCAAGAGAAGCUUCUUUAUGAGCUCUUAGGAAACUUUGGAAGUUUAAAUAUUGGCGGUGUUGGAGGUUCUAAUGUUAUAAAGCUUAUGCUUUGCUCUAAAAGGGUACUUAUAAUUCUUGAUGAUGUGAAUGAAUUGCGCCAAUUAAAAGAAAUAGCUGGAAAUCAUAAUUGGUUCGGCCCAGGAAGUAGAAUAGUAAUAACAACAAGAGAUCAACAUCUAUUAACUUAUCAUCAAGUUGAUUCAACGUACGAAGUGCAGGGAUUGGACCACAACCAAGCUAUUCAACUAUUUAGUUGGCACACAUUUAAAAGAGAGAAGCCAAUUGAAAGUCAUGUAGAACUCACAACAUGUAUAAUAGGUUAUGCUAAGGGCCUUCCACUAGCUCUUACAGUACUUGGUUCAGAUUUAUGUGGUAGAAGUAUACAAGAAUGGAAAAGUGCAUUGGAAAAGUAUGAAAGAAGUCCUCAUAAGGAUAUUUAUGAAAUUCUUAAAAUAAGCUAUGAUGGGCUGGAUGAUAAUGAAAAGGAUAUUUUUCUUGACAUUGCAUGUUUCUUCAAGGGAAACUCUGUUGAAUAUGUCACGAAAAUACUAGACAGUUGUUGUUUUUCAUCAUCUAUUGGCAUUGCAAGGCUUAAAGAUAAGUGUCUCAUCAAUAUUUGUUACCAGUGUGUGGAGAUGCAUGACUUAUUGCAAGAAAUGGGUAAAGAAAUUGUUCGACAAGAAUCGCUUAAAGAAGUUGGCAAGCGCAGUAGAUUGUGGUUUUAUGAAGAUGUUCGCCAUGUAUUAGAAGAAAAUACGGGAACAAACACAAUCGAAGCGAUUUUGUUAGAUUUUCCUGAAGGCCAUCAUCACAUGAUAUGCUUGCAUUCCAAGGCAUUUAAAAAGAUGAAGAAUCUUCGAUUAUUGUUUAUAAAUUGGAAUGCACAAUUUUCUGCAGGACCGAAUUAUCUCUCUAAUGAGAUAAGAGUGCUUGAUUGGAAAUAAUCUCGUUGAAUUUCGAAUGCCUAGUAGCCUCAUCAAGGAGUUAGGCGGCCUAAAAUCCAAGAACUUGACAGUUAUGGAUUUAAAUGAGUGUCAAUUCUUAACAAAAAUUCCUGAUCUUUCAAGUAGCCCAAAUUUAGAGGAGUUGGAUCUUAGAUAUUGUAAGAACUUAGUUGAGGUUCAUCAUUCCGUUGGAUUCCUUGAUAAGCUUAGGGAAUUUUUUGUUACUGGAUGCCGCAAGCUUAGGAUUUUUCCGAAAAGAUUCAAGUUGAGAUCUCUACGUAUUUUUUAUCUUGAUUAUUGCUCGAGUCUUGAAGACUUUCCAGAGAUUGAAUGUGAAAUGGAAUUUUUACAUGUGCUAGAGUUUUGCGGCACUAGCAUAAAAGAACUACCUUCAUCAAUUGAGAACCUCAAAGGACUUAAAAACUUAAAUCUAGAAAGCUCUAGUCUAAAAAAGCUACCUUCAUCAAUUGGCAACCUUACUCAGCUUGAAGAAUUAUAUGCAAAAGGCUGCAUUGAUCAGCUACAAAGUCUACAUAUUGUCAAAGUCGACGGUUAUCCUCAAGUACCAAUAGACAUUGGAAAGGUGGAGGAGGAUGGUAUACAAUCCACGCCAUCUGUUGUGUCUACAGGCGAAGAAUGUGAAAUUACAUCAACUACUGCAGAAUUGACUCCGACAAAUUCAAGCAUUUUUAAUGAUGCAGGUUCCUCCUCAAGCGCAAUUUGGAAAUCGUUACAAGAUUUAAGUCUUCGAUUCUGUUGCCUGUCAGAAUCAAAUUUCUUCAUGAAUGGUAACUACUUUCCCGCUUUGGAUAUGUUAAAUCUAAGUGGGAGUGAUAUUGUUAUCUUUCCACCUCAAAGCGUUACAUUUGAUAGGUUGCGAGACCUUUGUUUGAACAAUUGCAAGAAACUUGAAGAAAUUUUACCUCUUCCAUUGAGUAUAUCAACUGUUGCAGCUCGUGGAUGCACGUCAUUGGAAAGUUUUACACUACUAUCUGAAAUACUUAUUAAAAACAAUGGAACGAGUUUUUCUAACUUCCUAUUUAUUGACUUGUACGGAUGCCAUAAACUACUUGCGGAUAUGAGGCCGAUUCCUCAAU